AGUUAACAGCUCCAGAGUUUCUCCAUUUGUUCAGAUACAAAACAUUUUUUUUUGUAGACUAAUGAGGAAUCUUGCCUAAAGUGACUUGUAGCUUCCUUCAGCUACUGGUAAGCCAAGGAAUGGUUCACUAGGAGAUAGCAACUUGCCUGGCAGAAGAGACUGAGCAGUCAGAGCAAUGAGAUUAUCUUCAUGCCCCUUUCCACUUUAGCUUUCUUUAAUGGAGUUAUG
rnacentral:misc_RNA from 1 species